AACGAACGCUGGCGGCAGGCCUAACACAUGCAAGUCGAGCGAGGACUUCGGUUCUAGCGGCGGACGGGUGAGUAACGCGUGGGAAUGUGCCCUUCUCUACGGAAUAUCCCUGGGAAACUGGGAGUAAUACCGUAUACGCCCUUUUGGGGAAAGAUUUAUCGGAGAAGGAUCAGCCCGCGUUGGAUUAGGUAGUUGGUGGGGUAAUGGCCUACCAAGCCGACGAUCCAUAGCUGGUUUGAGAGGAUGAUCAGCCACACUGGGACUGAGACACGGCCCAGACUCCUACGGGAGGCAGCAGUGGGGAAUCUUAGACAAUGGGGGCAACCCUGAUCUAGCCAUGCCGCGUGAGUGAUGAAGGCCUUAGGGUUGGAAAGCUCUUUCAGCUGGGAAGAUAAUGACGGUACCAGCAGAAGAAGCCCCGGCUAACUCCGUG
rnacentral:rRNA from 1 species